UAUUUUUUUAAUUUUUUAAAGAUUUGGAGGAUGUUUAUGUGAAUGUUCCAAAGACACCUGAUGGUUACCAGUGAAGGUCCAUGUUUUCAGAUGAACAAGAAGAACCUAGAACCUUGUAAUAUAGUAAAUAACUCCUAGAACUGAAUUAAAUCGUGAGGGCAACCUAAGUCAGUCUCCUUGACAUCAUUUCAUCGACACUUCUUGCAAUCACUACAGAUUUGAACUAAAUGCCUGAUACCACCAUAACAUUAUUGAUCUCGGUUAUAUGCUGUAACUACAUUGUUUUUGUAUUCACAGCAUCAUAAAAUUCUUGAUUUAUUUUAAACUUUCAUGAAUGUCUAUCUAUAAUUAAACAUUUGCACCAAUGAAGUAAACUCAGUUAAAUUUCUGUAUUUCAUUCCUCUUAUACGAGUCAUCAUCUGUUCAACAUAAUAUGGAGAUUUAACAACAUGGCUAUGAAUAUCAUUGAUUUUUCGAAUAUAUUUUGGAAUAAUCCCUUAAAAAAUUUUAAGAAUUUGAAUUCAUCCCAAUUUUCUACAAAUGAGCAGCAAUUAUGAUUGUGUUUUUGUUCAUGUUAAACAUAUUCUUGAAACUAUUUAUAACUUCAUGAUCAAAGUUUCUGAUAUUCAUUUUACAGAAGUUCUUUAUAUACUUUCUACUAUUUUACUUCAUUAGUAGACUAUUUUACUUUCUAAGAUACAAGAACUUCACUACUUUACUAACUUUUUUCUAAGAUACAAGAACAUUCAAAUCUAAAUUCUAAAACACAUAUUUGUAAAAGAAAUCAAACUUGCAGCUUGUACAUAAGUAAAUGCAUGUGCAAAUAUUUAUCCAGAUUCAGCAGACUCUCUCUUAUAUCUUACUACAGAAUGAAUAAAUGAAUUGAUAUUUAAA